rnacentral:lncRNA from 1 species
UGAAGAAUGAAGAAACUUCUCGUUUCUCUCAUAGCAAAAUGCUCUCUCCCUUCAGAUAGUCUAAGAUCUGCAGUUGUUUCUAAGUUUUUUUGUAGAUCUACUUACCAACAACUACUGAAGAUGAAUGAAUUUAAAUACAAGUACAAUCAGCUAAGCUACACCUCCCUGAGGAGAUGAUGACAUCCCAGUGGUGUGCUGCUGUCUUGGAGUGUUUUGAAGCCCAGGUUGCUGGCCUGGUGGAAACGUUUCUGGUGGAGGUAGACAGUGCAAACUCUAUCAGUUCACAAGCAGCAUCAGAGGUGCUUCAAAAUAUGAGUCCUCACUGUUGUGAUAUGAGCCUGGGGAGUCAGAGUGAUAAUUCUCAUGCCUCUUGCUCCUGUGAAGUGAACACCUUGUUUGGAGAAGAAACGGGUCAUUUUCAGAUCAAGGAGCACUGUUCUGCAGCGUCUAGUUCUCUUUCAUAUUCCAUGGACUCCAGCGAAUCCAAAAAGAGCAAAGAUGAGGAAGAAGCCCAGUCUCAGCAUCUUCCGUCUCUUGGCCUGUGUUGCAUUUCCAGUAUUAAAACUCCAGCUUUAGUUGGGGAGGUAAAAACCUCUAAUACUGAAGUGAGACAUGACACUUAUAAAAAUCAGAAGAAGACUAGACUUGACAAUAAAGGGUUAUCUCAUCCUGUGAAAAAUACUUGCACCUUAAAGACAGGUUCUGAGAGAACGCAUUCUCCAACAUAUGCAACUUAG